UGCCGCAAGCUCCGCCCUUUCUCUCUCUCCCAGGUGGAGGAGCGAGUCGGUCCGGCGCAGGCGCCUUGGUGGGCUAGUCUUUGGCUGGUGGUGUGCGGUGUGUGGGUGCUGGUUCCCGCCACGUCCCGGGGGACCCCAACCUACGUCCCCGGCCUACUCUCGGCGGUCUUCGAGAAGGUGUAAAACUCCGACUGACCGUUAAGACCAAUCUCGGUCUUUCUCCCCUUCCCAGAAGAGGCUGAUCUUUCCUGCCACCACUGGCUGACAUCAGCCAGGUCAGAGACUCUGACCCUGGUGGUAGCAUCUCCUCAUUGGUCUUUUGCCAUUAGAAUCUAGGCAGAAAGAGUUCUUCGGCAAGUGUAUAAUUUUGUAUCUGCAUUACUCAUCAAGUUUGCUAGGGCUGCUGUAACAAAUUACCACAGACUGGAAGCCUUAAACAAGAGAAAUGA